rnacentral:lncRNA from 1 species
UAGGAUCAUCAUGAGGAUGGUGAUAGAAUCAGAUAGAAUGAUGCACAAAUUACUUCCUUCAAGAUAGACGGGUCUCUGGUCUACUAUGUAGAGACACAGGACGACGAGUGUGGAUAGUUGUUAGAGAAUAACUAGUACUGAGCAUGAUCAUAUGAAAAAUCACUUGGAUUUCUAUUCGAUCGUUAGUGAUUGUCUCAAUGCUGUAGUUGUAUGACUGAUCCUUUGACUUGAGAUAGUACUACUACUCACAGUGACUUGAUAGAGAGG